rnacentral:rRNA from 1 species
UACGUAGGGGGCUAGCGUUGUCCGGAUUUAUUGGGCGUAAAGAGCGUGUAGGCGGCCAGGUAGGUCUGGUGUGAAAACUCGAGGCUUAACCUCGAGAUGUCAUCGGAAACCAUCUGGCUAGAGUCCGGAAGAGGAGAGUGGAAUUCCUGGUGUAGCGGUGAAAUGCGCAGAUAUCAGGAAGAACACCGGUGGCGAAGGCGGCUCUCUGGACCACAACUGACGCUGAGGCGCGAAAGCUAGGGGAGCAAACAGG